rnacentral:tRNA from 1 species
UCCGGGGUAGCUCAAUGGCAGAGCACGCGACUGUUAAUCGUGUGGUUGAGAGUUCGAGUCUCUCCCCCGGAG